AUAGAAGAAAAAAAGUACAUGUUAAGUGAAGAGACGAGAAACUUAACAGCACUACAUGGAUAUAAAAGUAUAAGGAAGUGAAGGAAAAAAAUGAGAAACUUGUUAUGGGAGAAAAUAAGGACAUUAAAUGAAAAGAAGGAAAACUGGAUAUAGAAGAAAAAAAAAGUACAUGUUAAGUGAAGAGACGAGAAACUUAAAAGCACUACAUGGAAAUAAAAGUAUAGGGGAGUGAAGGAAAGAAAUGAGAAACUUGUUAUGGGAGAAAAUAAGGAUGUUAAAUGAAAAGAAGGAAAACUGGAUAUAGAAGAAAAAAAAUACAUGUUAAGUGAAGAGACGAGAAACUUAACAGCACUACAUGUAAAUAAAAGUAUAGGGGAGUGAAGGAAAGAAAUGAGGAACUUGUUAUGGGAGAAAAUAAGGACGUCAUAUGAAAAGGAGGAGACUUGGAUAUAGAAGAAAAAAAGUACAUGUUAAGUGAAGAGACGAGAAACUUAACAGCACUACAUGGAUAUAAAAGUAUAGGGGAGCGAAGGAAAGAAAUGAGGAACUUGUUAUGGGAGAAAAUAAGGACGUCAAAUGAAGAGGAGUAGGAGGAGAACUGGAUUUAGACGAAUUACCUUAGUCGUACAAAUAAAAAAAUGAGAAACUUGCAGUAGAUGGGAAGAAAAGUAGAUGUGAGGUCAAGAAACAAGAAACUUAACGAUACAGAAAAAUAAAAUUAAAUGCGAGUGAAGGAGCGGAACGGGAGACUCAGCGACGCAUUGUAUUAAAUCACAACGAAGGUCAUUUUCUCAUUAUCAAGUCCGCCCUCUCGGUGACACAAGUAUCCGGAGGUCCAUAGAAGUUCACUAUAAAUAAUCACAACAUGACCUGACCUUAAAGAUACACAACGAAAAGCUAAUGCAUAGGAACGAUAACUCUCUCUCUCUCUCUCUCUCCUCGUGAUGGCUCAAAAACAGACACAAAAAUAUCCCUCUGUCCUCCAUUAAUUAAAAACUUAAGUAGGUGAAUCGACAGACACGUUACGGACAGAAUCACAACUUGACACCAUCUCGGAGAAUGAUAAUGGUGAAGAAAAACAGGACAAAAAAAUCAUGAAAAAAAAAUUAAAAUCCACGUCUGUUGCAAGUUCCCUCGGCAUUCCUCCUCUUUGUACACGGUGAGCCCCCCAAAAAAGAAACACACACGCACACAAGCGAAAGUUCACGUCCUUGCGGAGCGAUUCAAGUGUGUGUGGCUGCUGGAUAUGUCUGAGUGUAUGUACAAGAUAUAAGUAACUGCUUCUCUACCAUAUAUUUUCCCGGAUAUAGAAAAAUCUGCACAUCAUAAACAAUCCUCUCAUCUGCUUCCUCCUCCUCCUCCUCGCUAAGUGACCUCCAACACCCACACCUCCACAGGGCUUAAGCUGAUAUUUUUAAACGUCACAGGCUCACAUUGCAACUAUUUUACAAGGCCACAAGAAGAUUAGUCAGGUUCUCAAGGGUCGUGUUUCCAGUGAAGAUAAUCAAGCUUUUAAGGGUAAUGUUUCCAGUGGAGAUGAUCAAGCUUACAAGGGUAGGUACCGGUAAUGUUUCCAGUGAAGAUGAUCAAGCUUACAAGGGUAGGUACCGGUAAUGUUUCCAGUGAAGAUGAUCAAGCUUACAAGGGUAGGUACCGGUAAUGUUUCCAGUGAAGAUGAUACAGUUUUUAAGGUGAAAAAUACACUCACGAGAGCUUGAUUCAUCUCCUUUUAAACCUUUGGAAAUUGGUGGUAUGUAGUUUGACUGAGCUUUUGAAUCAUGAAGGGAUAAAAUAUACCUACCAGUGAGAACCCAAUACAUCUCAUUUUAGGCCUUUGGAAAUUGGUGGUAGUUGACUGAGCUUUUGAAUCAUGAAGGGAAAAAAUAUACCAACCAGUGAGAACCCAAUAUAUUUCCUUUUUAGGCCUUCAGAUAUUGGUGGUAGUCUGAGAGCUUUUGAAUCAUGAAGGGAAAAAAUAUAGCCAUGAAAACCCAAUAACAUCUCCUUCUCAGCCUUUGAAAAUAGUUGAGUCUGAGAGUAUUGACUUUAGGAGCAAGUACAAACAUGUCCUGUGCUCCUGUCAAAACGUAUCACCUGUGAGAAUGUAUCAAAUUUUCCCAGAUAAAAAAAUGAAUGAGCAGUGAGCAUGACCUUGGAUGAAUAACAAGCACACAAACAUCUCUAGUCAAAAGAUCAUUUAAAACUUCCUUCCUUGCCCUCUAAACACACCCACUCCUGUUAAAAACCUAUACUCCUUAAGGCAAUGAUGUAAUGCUUCGAGUAAUACCUCAAAUAUCGCGAAAUGCAUCUAUGUAUGGACCUCUCACUCAUCCUCACCUACUUUACAUACAUAUCACAACUUCACAACGUCCUUAAAAUAACCUAAAGAUGAAAAAACUAUCAGCUGGCACACACACACACACACACACACACACACACACAGCUAGACAGACAUAUGCACUUACUAACUAUCUGGUCAGAGGUACACAGACACUCCUCAGUUAGUUAAGACAUACAUAUAUCCAGUUACUCUCCACUCUGAGCACAUACACAUAGCUAGACAAACAAACAUAUGCACACACUAACUGGUCAGAGGUAAACAAACACCCCUCAGUUAGUUCAGACAUCCAUAUAUCCAGUUACUAUCCAAGGCAAGGUACACAGUCGCUAGCCAGUUAAGUAACCAAAUACACACACGCACAGCCACUCACUAGGCCCUAGGGUAUUCACGCAAACAGUCAUCAGUCAGUUAGACCCGAUAAAUGCAACAGUGUAUCGUGAGCAAGUCUGUUUGUUUCCACGGCACAGAAGCCAUCAGGUCGGGCAGGACGAGGGUGGGUGUGAGGUAGUUGGAGAGUGGUGUGUUAGGUUAGGUUAGGUUAGGUUAGGUAUGCUGAGGGAGGAAGGAAUUGGGAAGAGUAGGAAGGAGUAGGGAAUGAGUGGGUGGAAUAAGGGGAAGGGAAGGGAAGGGAAAGGAAAGGAAGGGAAGGAAGGGAAAGGAAGAGAAGGAAUGGAAAAGGAGGGUAGGGGAAAGGAAAGGAGAAAGGAAGAGAAGGGAUGGGAAGGGAAGGGAUGGGAAGGCAAAGGAAGAGAAGAGAAGGGAAGGGAAGAGAAGGGAAGGGAGAGGAAGGGAAGGGAAGGGAAGGGUAGUAGGGUAAGAGUUUUGCGUAAGAAAGGGAGGGGUACAAUAAGGUAAGGUAGGGUAGGGUAAGAAAGGCUAGGGUACAGUGAGGUAAGGUAGGGAAAAAAAGGGUAGGGAGGGAAAAAGGAAUGGAAGAAAAGAGUAAUUAAUUGAGGGUCAGGGAAAAGAAAGGAGAGGAAGGAAGGGAAGGAAGGGAAAUAAAGAAAGGAGGGGAAAGGGAAAGAAGGGAAAUAAAGGAGAGGAAGGGAAGGGAAGGGAAAUAAAGAAAGGAGAGGAAGGGAAGGAUAGGGAAAGAAAGGAGAGGAAGGGAAGGAAGGGAAAUAAAGAAAGGAGGGGAAAGGGAAGGAUAGGGAGAGAAAGAAGGUGUACUGACGCCAAAUAGGAAAAGAAGAGCACACUGAAUUCAACUAGACCUCACAGGGCAAGGAAAAUGAAUCUGUAUGAGCAACCAAACUGAAUUUCUUUUGUCUUAUAAACUACCAAAAUGAAAAACAAGAAUGAGAUAAAAUAUGAGGCUGGAAGAGGUAAAACAAAGCAAAACAAGAAAAUCAAAGAGCUGACUGAACCAAAUAUCUCCCAGCAAAAUCUUCUCAUGUGUUCCGAAGUCUAUGAAGGAAGAUAAAAACAGACUUAAAAAAUGAAAUGAAUGAAACAACCUUAAAAUAUCGACUCUACAAGAACUUAUACAUAACACAGCCAAUCACACAUGACAAGGAUGAUGAUGAUGGUGAUGAUGAAGAUGAUGAUAAAAAUGGGGGUUGGUGAAGAAAAAAAAAAUGGGAAAAACAAUGAUGGUGAUGGUGGUAGUCAGUUAAGAUAAAAAAAAAAAUUAAUGGUAGUGAUGAUGAUGAUGGUAACCAGAGAUGAUGGUGAUGAUGAAGGUGAUGAUGACAAUGGUGAUAUGAUGAUUACAGCAAUGCCAUAAAAAAAAUAUAGAUAUACAUACUUAUAAAAACAAUAUAUAUCCGUGUACCAUAUCAUAGUAGUAGUAGAAAUAGUAGUAGUAGUAGUAG